rnacentral:tRNA from 1 species
AUUUAAAUAGUUUAAGAAAAAAUUUUGAUUUGUGGUAUCAAAGAUGUAGGUAAUACUUUAGAUU